CCCCCUCUCCUCUCUCUCUCUCUCUCUCUCCCCAGUACAAUUACCUCAGCACAAAUCAAUAUCCGAUUUUCAACCUAUUGUUCUAAAACCCCGCAAGUGAGAAAUCCUCUCUCCCUCCCUCCUCUCUCAAUUUCUCUGAUGAAAACUAUGAUAUGUAUAGUCAUCAACGCAUCACUAGAAAUGGUGUCCGAGUCAACGGAGGUUAUGAGUCUGAAUGCUCACAGCUGUCAAAGCUCAUAUCUACAGAAAUACAAUUAAAAACAAGAAAAACAGGUAGCAUGAUCAUACAAGAUGGGACGUUUCUCUUUUCGGACAUUAAGUAUUAUUGUCUAAACUUCCGGAGACAUUUUCAUGUCUUUCGGUUAGAUAAUAAGCUUUUUGAAUGAAAGAAACUCCUCGGAGUAUUGUUGUA